UUGGGGAGUACCCGAACGCCUGUGAGCUAACUGUAAAGAGGCAGCAGUCGAAGGUAAAAUCAAUGAUUGGGGUGAAGUCGUAACAAGGUAAC
rnacentral:rRNA from 1 species